rnacentral:ncRNA from 1 species
UUGUAAAAAGCAAACCCACAGUAAUGUGGUGACGCAAAACUAUAGGGUCUUAAAUAAUCUUUAUUAAGAUAGCCAGGU